rnacentral:rRNA from 1 species
CCUACGGGAGGCAGCAGUGGGGAAUAUUGCACAAUGGGCGAAAGCCUGAAGGAGCGACGCCGCGUGAGGGAAGAAAGCCUUCGAGUUGUAAAGCACUUUUAGUAGGGAUGAAAAGCACAUUGCUAAUACCAGUGUGUCUUGACCUAACCCAAAGAAAAAGCACCGGCUAACUACGUGCCAGCAGCCGCGGUAAU